rnacentral:rRNA from 1 species
GGUUAAGCGACUAAGCGUACACGGUGGAUGCCCUGGCAGUCAGAGGCGAUGAAGGACGUGCUAAUCUGCGAUAAGCGUCGGUAAGGUGAUAUGAACCGUUAUAACCGGCGAUUUCCGAAUGGGGAAACCCAGUGUGAUUCGUCACACUAUCAUUAACUGAAUCCAUAGGUUAAUGAGGCGAACCGGGGGAACUGAAACAUCUAAGUACCCCGAGGAAAAGAAAUCAACCGAGAUUCCCCCAGUAGCGGCGAGCGAACGGGGAGCAGCCCAGAGCCUGAAUCAGUGUGUGUGUUAGUGGAAGCGUCUGGAAAGGCGUGCGAUACAGGGUGACAGCCCCGUACACAAAAAUGCACAUACUGUGAGCUCGAUGAGUAGGGCGGGACACGUGGU